GAAUAUUGGACAAUGGGGGCAACCCUGAUCCAGCAAUGCCGCGUGAGUGAUGAAGGCCUUCGGGUUGUAAAGCUCUUUCACCCGCGACGAUGAUGACGGUAGCGGGAGAAGAAGCCCCGGCUAACUUCGUGCCAGCAGCCGCGGUAAUACGAAGGGGGCGAGCGUUGUUCGGAAUUACUGGGCGUAAAGGGCGCGUAGGCGGCCCGGUCAGUCAGAAGUGAAAGCCCCGGGCUCAACCUGGGAAUGGCUUUUGAGACGGCCGGGCUCGAGUUCCGGAGGGGAUGGUGGAAUUCCCAGUGUAGAGGUGAAAUUCGUAGAGAUUGGGAAGAACACCGGCGGCGAAGGCGGCCAUCUGGACGGACACUGACGCUGAGGCGCGAGAGCGUGGGGAGCAAACAG
rnacentral:rRNA from 1 species